UCGAUUUCUGCAUAAUCUUUUGAGAAAAAGGAGGGUCAAUAUAGAUAUCCUCACCGUAAGCAGGGAGAGCAUGGUGGAGCUCUUUGAUCUGCCGGUUCAUCUCUCAGAACCUUUGAUCCAAGAGAUCCUCUCGAUCAUGAAUCUCGAGGGUCUUCUGGCAGAACGGAGGUAGGGACCCUCUGGGGGUGGAAUCAUGAUCAGAUAGAUGGCUCUCCGCCCUCUGCUUUUCCUUUUCGGGGGAUACAAGAUGAUUGGCCCAAGUGGGCCGCCC
rnacentral:lncRNA from 1 species